rnacentral:miRNA from 1 species
CAGCACUGCUGCGCUCGGUG